CGGACGGGUGAGUAAUGCUUGGGAAUCUGGCUUAUGGAGGGGGAUAACUACGGGAAACUGUAGCUAAUACCGCGUAAUAUCUUCGGAUUAAAGGGUGGGACUUUCGGGCCACCUGCCAUAAGAUGAGCCCAAGUGGGAUUAGGUAGUUGGUGGGGUAAAGGCCUACCAAGCCGACGAUCUCUAGCUGGUCUGAGAGGAUGACCAGCCACACUGGAACUGAGACACGGUCCAGACUCCUACGGGAGGCAGCAGUGGGGAAUAUUGCACAAUGGGGGGAACCCUGAUGCAGCCAUGCCGCGUGAAUGAAGAAGGCCUUCGGGUUGUAAAGUUCUUUCGGUGAUGAGGAAGGUGUUUGUUUUAAUAGAACAAGCAAUUGACGUUAGUCACAGAAGAAGCACCGGCUAACUCCGUGCCAGCAGCCGCGGUAAUACGGAGGGUGCGAGCGUUAAUCGGAAUGACUGGGCGUAAAGGGCACGCAGGCGGUGACUUAAGUGAGAUGUGAAAGCCCCGAGCUUAACUUGGGAAUUGCAUUUCAUACUGGGUCGCUAGAGUAUUUUAGGGAGGGGUAGAAUUCCACGUGUAGCGGUGAAAUGCGUAGAGAUGUGGAGGAAUACCGAAGGCGAAGGCAGCCCCUUGGGAAUAUACUGACGCUCAUGUGCGAAAGCGUGGGGAGCAAACAGGAUUAGAUACCCUGGUAGUCCACGC
rnacentral:rRNA from 1 species